rnacentral:miRNA from 1 species
ACACGCAUACACACACACACAAACGUACAUAUUUGUGUGUGCGCGCGCGCGCGCGCGUGUGUGUGUGUGUGUGUGUGUGUGUGUGUGUGUG